UGUACUGGGUCUUUCCACUUACAGAAGGGAAGAAAGAAGACUGACGUAAACCCUUUGCCAGUUGGGUUAUACCGCCAGAGAAAGGGUUACACACUCAAAAGCUUCCAGAGGCCAGAUACCUGCUAACAUGUCACCUGGAACCAGGCUUCCAUGGAAUCCAGGCUGGGAGAUUCUGUGACGACAUACCCUCUCACAAUGAUAAGCAGCUGUUAAGAUUGGACGUGUCCAUUUGGAGCCCUGAGCUGCCAUGUAAGAAGCCCAGCUGCCCUGAAGCCUCCACACUGAAGAGACCAUCUGGAGAAACCACAGAGGGAUGGAGACACCUGAGGGGCCCCGGGUGGUCCAGCCCCUGUCCUUGAAUUGCUCCCGUGCUGACAGCAGCAGACACAAGCGGCCUCCACUGAAUUCUGUGUAAAUUGC